rnacentral:rRNA from 1 species
AUGACGGGCCUGGGCCCGGCCCGGCUCGACCUUCGGGCUCAAAAUCUAGGCCCGAGCCCGGCCCGGGGGCAGCGUCGAGCCGGGCCGGGUCAGGCUUUUUCGGGCCGGGCUGGCCGGGCCGGGCUUCCCAUGGCCAGGGUUCUGGAAGUCAGUCCCUUCGCCGGAGGACAAAGCGUGCUGCUAAUCGCCAGCCACGCCCAAAACGUAGUGUUGAGCAGGGAGAGGAAGUUGAGCAAACUAAACAUGCAGCAGCAGCAGGGUGAGCUGAAUCAUCUACUAGGGCAGCAGAUGGUGGAGGAGCUGCCUCAUCUUCUGCAGCAGAUGUUGAGUUGCUGCUAUCUUCUUUCCAACGUCAUGCUUUAUCGUUGCACAUCCCCUAGAACUUUCUGUAGUUGUCAGGCCAGCGGUGAAGGAGUUGAGGUGGCCGCCCGGGAAGAUGUGGAGCGACCAUCACAAGCUAGCAGGUUAAGGGCAUCACCAGGGUGGUUUCCGAAGUUCAAAAGCUCUCUAUCCCUGCCACAAAAGUCAGAGCUAGUUUCAAGGUUGUUUGGGGGCCUCUUGAACUUAUCAGAUACACUUCCAGGGGACUUCAGUAAAUUCCUGGUGCAGUCCUACCAGCUAGAGACCUCUGAAAUGGUGUUCCCAGGCAGGGGAAGUAUCUAUGUCAAUGCUGACAGUGUUCAAAGGGUAUUUGAUCUUCCUAACAGGGGUCUAAAAAUCAUGUACCUUGACGCGCUCGUUCAUGACAUCCCAGUAAGCAACUGUGUUAUACGAUCAAAUGCAUGGGACAGUAACCUAAUUGCCAAGGUGAUCAAGAAGGACACAAUCUCUCCUAGUGUGUUCGGCAAAUUACAAAAAAAGGCAAAGAUUGCCAAAGUGGUCAAUGACUUGUGCAAGGCAGUAACUGAACAGCAGACAUCAACGGGAACCGCUCUGUCAUGCUGUGCUCCAAAAAGGAAGAGACGGGUUUCACCUAUACCAGAAGAAGAAGAGUUCGAUGACGAGGAGUCAGACGAAAAUUAUGAAAUGGAAGUACCACAAGAUGUUGAAGACGACGGGGAGACAGAUGAGGAUGAUUUAGAGGAGGAGGACAAAGAGGAGGAUGACAAAGAAGAAGAGGAUGAUGAUGAGGAGGAGGAGGAGGAGGAAGAGGAGGAGGAGGAGGAGGAAGAGGACGAGGAGGACAAAGGAAAAGAGGACAAAGGAGAGGAGGAGGGCAAGGAAGAAGAUAGUGAGGCAGAGGAGGAGGAACAAGAAAAUGUUGGUAAAGAAGGAGAUGGAAACAAAGCUGCAACAAUCAAUGGCAGUGAGGGGGAAGAAGAUGAUGUGGAAGAAGACGAGGAUGCCGAUCCUGAUGAUCAACAGGGACCCAAUGGAGGCAGUGACAGUUUAGAUGAUGAUGAUGACAAUGCCCCUGGUUCUGGUGGUACAAGGGCAACACAACCAGAUCUGCCAACCCUGCUAGCAGCAGCAACUCAAUGA